GAGAACCAGCUGCAGGAUUCAGGAGUGAAGCUGCUGACUGGUUUUCUGGAGAGUCCACGUUGUAGCCUGGAGACUCUGAGACUGUCACGCUGUGGGAUCACAGAGGAAGGCUGUUCUUCUCUGGGAUCAGCUCUGAAGUCAAACCCCUCCAGUCUCAGAGAACUGGAUCUGAGCUGGAACGAGCUGCAGGAUUCAGGAGUGAAGCUGCUGACUGGUUUUCUGGAGAGUCCACAUUAUAGACUGGAGACUCUGAGAUUGGAAGUGAUCAGCUGAGUGCUGAUGAUCCAGAGAGCAUCUGGUCUUGUUCUGACGUUCCAACGCUUGUUUUGCUGAUGUUUCUGCCGCUUCGUUUCCCUUUACCCGUCUCUGUGCUGGCACCCACAUGAAUGCCACCAAAAUACCACCUGACUAAGUGGGAGCAGUGUUUCCUAGAUGUCGUUGAUUAUAUCCUGCCUGCUAGGAGAUGUGACUGUAAUGAUGAUAACGCUGAACUGGAAUCUGAACCAAUGACAACCUUUCUGACCUGAAGCUCCUCCACCCACUGCAGCGCUGGUCAGACGGCCAAAGCCUCAACUGUCAACACGACAGAUGGUCUGAUGACCUUCGUCUGACCUCAUAGUUAAAGGAACGAUAACUGCAAAUCCAGUUCUCCCUGUAUUGGGCUCUUUAGAUCCAUCUGUGUCCGCCGGGGUAAACGAUUGAUCUGCUGUCUGCAGUGUCUCCUCUUCUCCUCGUUGUCUAGUUGUUGUCUUUGGUUCCGUCUUCCCUGUGCCUGGAUAUUCUUGACCUGCCUGUUUGACCCUGCCUGCUUGCCCUAACCACGAUUCCCUGCCUGCCCCCUUUUGGACGUUUUGCUUCUUUUGGAACUUUUGUCUGAUUAAAGAGUCUUUUUGUUAUUCA